rnacentral:rRNA from 1 species
AGCGAACGCUGGCGGCAGGCUUAACACAUGCAAGUCGAGCGGGCAUCCUUGUGGUGUCAGCGGCAGACGGGUGAGUAACGCGUGGGAACGUGCCCUUCGGUUCGGAAUAACUCAGGGAAACUUGAGCUAAUACCGGAUACGUGCGAGAGCAGAAAGGUUUAUCUGCCGAAGGAUCGGCCCGCGUCUGAUUAGCUAGUUGGUGAGGUUACGGCUCACCAAGGCGACGAUCAGUAGCUGGUCUGAGAGGAUGAUCAGCCACACUGGGACUGAGACACGGCCCAGACUCCUACGGGAGGCAGCAGUGGGGAAUAUUGGACAAUGGGGGCAACCCUGAUCCAGCCAUGCCGCGUGAGUGAUGACGGCCCUAGGGUUGUAAAGCUCUUUUCUCCGGGACGAUAAUGACGGUACCGGAGGAAUAAGCCCCGGCUAACUUCGUG